AGCUCGAGUUUCUCUUCAUUGUCGCAUAAAUCUUUCGCCUUUUACUAAAGAUUUCCGUGGAGGGGAGCUUUUGCGAGUGACCUGUUUUUUUGGGGGCUCUGCUCACAGCAGAGCU
ensembl:snRNA U5 U5 spliceosomal RNA